rnacentral:rRNA from 1 species
GAUGAACGCUGGCGGCGUGCCUAAUACAUGCAAGUCGAGCGAACAGACGAGGAUCUUGCUCCUCUGACGUUAGCGGCGGACGGGUGAGUAACACGUGUAUAACCUACCUAUAAGACUGGGAUAACUUCGGGAAACCGGAGCUAAUACCGGAUAAUAUAUUGAACCGCAUGGUUCAAUGGUGAAAGACGGUUUUGCUGUCACUUAUAGAUGGAUCCGCGCCGCAUUAGCUAGUUGGUAAGGUAACGGCUUACCAAGGCAACGAUGCGUAGCCGACCUGAGAGGGUGAUCGGCCACACUGGAACUGAGACACGGUCCAGACUCCUACGGGAGGCAGCAGUAGGGAAUCUUACGCAAUGGGCGAAAGCCUGACGGAGCAACGCCGCGUGAGUGAUGAAGGUCUUCGGAUCGUAAAACUCUGUUAUUAGGGAAGAACAAAUGUGUAAGUAACUAUGCACGUCUUGACGGUACCUAAUAAGAAAGCCACGGCUAACUACGUG